GGGGGGGGGGGGGGGGGGGGGGGGGGGGGGGGGGGGGGGGGGGGGGGCGGGGGUGGCUGGGUGGGGUGGUGGCGGGCGGGUGAGUGCCGCGGGGGUAACCUGCCCUGGAGUCUUGGAUAAGCCUGGGAACCUAGGUCUAAUCCCGGAUCGGGGCGCCUACCGCCUGGUGGGUGUUGGAAAGGUUGAUCGGUUUUGGAUGGACUCGCGGCCUAUCAGCUUGUUGGUGAGGGAAUGGCUCACCAAGGCGACGACGGGUCACCGGCCUGAGAGGGUGACCGGCCACACUGGGACUGAGACACGGCCCAGACUCCUACGGGAGGCAGCAGUGGGGAAUAUUGCACAAUGGGCGAAAGCCUGAUGCAGCGACGCCGCGUGAGGGAUGACGGCCUUCGGGUUGUAAACCUCUUUCAGUAGGGAAGAAGCGAAAGUGACGGUACCUGCAGAAGAAGCACCGGCUAGCUACGUG
rnacentral:rRNA from 1 species